rnacentral:misc_RNA from 1 species
CAGACAAUUGAGAGUUUUUCCCCUUCUGUCUUUUUCCUUUUGUAGAUGGGGCUGAGGACUGUGGGACUACCACAGAAGUUUCUGAUUCACCAAACUUUCCAGGUGUGUCUUUUCUUAUAUCUUGCUUUUCAUCUUCACCAUUCUCAGAAGGUCUAUCUGAUAUCUCCGAUACACCACUUUCAACAGCCUUCUGAAUUCCCCCAACACUACUAUAAGCUUCCACACAACAAUCUCUGGCC